CCAUUUUCAGCGUUCUGCGACUCUGGGAGGUGUAUAUGAGGCUCUGUCUGCCUUAUUCUGUUCAGUGUCUGUGUGGCUGCUUUCCAUCAGGACUAUCUACUUCUAAGUACAUUAAUGCAAAAGGGGCAGAUUUUGAUCUCAGAUAUAUCGAGAAGCUGCCUUCAAAAUCAAUGUACCAGACCAGCCGGAAGGAGCUAGCCACCUAACUACACAACCUGAUGACAUUUCCCAAACAAAAUCUUUCCAAAGUGGACCAAGUUCAGUUCCCAGGAGCUUUGGAUCAGGAAAACAUUCCUAGAUCCUGUGUUGGCAGAGGGACACCAUAUCCUGUACUGACACAGCAAUACCUUUUCCUACCCUGAGACCUGUCCUAACUAUGCUGACAACGUUCAUCAGCCUGUAAUUGUGUGGAUGACUGUGAGCUGGAGUGAUUGCCUGACAUCUCCUACCUCCCUACCUGGUUUAAGAGCUUUUCCUUUCCUGAUGAUGGGCAAAAUGCAGCUCUUGCAUUUCACCAGUUCAGACGAGAGAAGAGAUUGUAAGGGGUACAAUGAGAUAUUCAGUAGAUCUAAAUAUAGUCUUUUUUUUUUCCCCCUUUUAAAAAUAGUUUUAGUUUCUUCCCAUUGUCUCCUGCAUGAAGAAAUGCAGGAAUUUCAGUGAUGCAUUAUGAUAGUAAAAUUAUAAUGAAAUUGUCGAAUUCAUCACAUUUUGUCUUCAUCACCCAGUGCAGAAUGUCCUCAUAAAGUACUUAGCAGUGAAUUUAGGUCCAAGGUGUACAUGGCUGUUGAGUCUGAAUGGUUGCAUUUAUGUGAGUGUGGUGACUAAGAGCCCCAACCAUCAGCCAGGAUUCCUAUGAGCUACAAAUGAGUUUGUGAGCUUUUUCAGUUCCAUAUUUUUUUUUCCAGUAAAAGAACAAGUAUGUCUCUGACUAGUAUAAGCCAUAUUUUCAGAAUCUUUGAAAAUAGCCUCUAGAUCUCUUUAGCUUGGACUCCAGAGAACCUACACAAGCAUAUCCUUACAAAUCUCUAGACAAAUCUUAAACAAAAGCAAAUAGAAAAAGACAAAAACAUACAGAAAAAGACUCUGGGGUUUCCUGGGAAACAGAAUUUCUGUUUCAUGAGAAAUUUUGAUAAAAUGGAUAGACCACUUGAAAUUAUAAAGGAAAGUAUUAACAGUAAUGGGACUGGUGCUAUUUAAUAUCUUAAUUGGUGACAUUGACUGUGGGAUCAAGUGUACCCUCAGCAAGUCUGUGGAUGACACCAAGAUAUGUGGUGUUGUUGACAUUCUGGAGGGAUGGGUUACCAUCCAUACAGACCUAGACAAGCUUGAGAAGGGGGCCCAGGUGAAACUUAUGAGGUUCAACAAACACUACACAACUACAUGUUCUUGUACUCGGGUUGUGGCAAUCACUACUACUUAUACAAGCUGAGGGACAAAAGGGUAGGGCACAUCCCUGCCAAAAUGGACUUCGGAGUACUGGUGAAGGGGAAACUGGAAUGAGCCAGCAAUGUGCCCUCACAGCCCAGAAAGCCAACUGGAUUUUGGGCUACAUCAGAGGACGUGUGGCCACAGGUCAAGGGGAGUGAUCCUGCCCCCCCUGCCCUGGUGAGAUCUUACCUGGCAUACUGCGUCCAGAGGUGGAGUCCUCAGAGACACGGACCUGUUGGAUCACAUUCAGAAAAGGGCCACAAAAAUGAUCCAAGGGAUGGAGCACCUCCCCUACAAGGACAGGCUGAGAGAGCUGGGUGUCUUCAGCUUGGAGAAGAGAAGGCUUUUGGGAGGCCUUACAGCAGCCUUCCAGUAUUUAAAGGGGACCUACAAGAAGGAAGGGGACAGACUCUUUAGAUUCUUUUGCCUGUUGUGAUAGUUUCAUAGAAAACUGAAAUGUUAUAGGGUAUGAUAAUGUCCCAUUCAGCAGUUAUUCAAUUUUGUUUUCACAGAUAAUACACAGAUCUGCAUAUUGAUGAAAUAAUUUAACUUCCCUGAAGUUUUGAUUGUGCAGCCUGAUUUUUGUACUGCUUACAAACCUACACUAGUGCUGUACAGGGGCUGGAGAUGUUGCCUAGAGGAUGAAUGCAAGAAAUGUUUUGCAGUAUUAAUCACUUAGAAUCACCCUACACUGCAGCAUCAUUUCUCAGUGUCACUUGACAAACUAAUUUGGCACGAGUCUGGUGAUUAGAGUGAUACCUCCAUCCUGUACUCAGAAGGCAGAGAAUUAUCAUCUGUCACCUGAGUGUCUAGGAACCAAGUGAGAGCUUGGUCUUUCCUUUACGCCAGCUGGAGAUGUGUGCUCAUUAAACAAUAGUAAUUUUGUAAUCAGUACUUUUUAACCAACACUUUUGUACAGCAUCUAUGGAUCUCAUUUUCCUUCUGCUUAAUUUGCAGUUCUUGCUAUUUUGCAAUUGACUUUCUUGCCCCAGCGAUUUGCAGCCUGGCACAAGCUUUUUAGCAAAAAACAUCGUUUUUAUUCCUCUGCUUAAAUAACCAUUGGUGAGUCUAGUUUUUGAGCCAAGCUAUGGUGGCCGGUUAACCUUCUGCAUUAUGUGUGAAGUUAGCACAGCAUGCUCAUCCUCUAGGCAUUUAGCUCCAGCGUCCUUUCUUGUCUUUUGUAACCUAUAAGGCUAUUGUGUUAAUAUGCAGACCAUUACUACUUUGCUGAUAAGACAGACUGCCGAGGAUCAAUAUGUCUCUGCAUUUGUCAGCCCCAUAUACCCCAGAGUUAAGUUCUCAGCUCUGCUGCCAGUGCUCAUGCCCUGCUGUGUAAUCGCAGGGAACUGUCGAUUUCUUAUGCAGCACGUCCGUGCACCAUGCAUGCUGGGGCGCUUUACAGAACAAGUAGGAAAGAUCCAAAUGUUGUAUUUGCUUGGCUCCCACUGCUUGAGUAAUAGCAGGUGCAGCCAGAAUAGCAGAGGACAGCUUGCUUACAGGGUCACUGCAACUCAAGAGCUAGCCAUUGAUGUUGUCAGGCAGACUUGGGAAGGAUGCCCAAAUGCUAUCAUCAACUAAAGGACACUGCAUUUUAAUGAAAGAGAAAAAAAAA
ensembl:lncRNA